GUGUCAGCAGCCGCGGUAAGACGAACCGUGCGAACGUUAUUCGGAAUCAUUGGGCUUAAAGGGCGCGUAGGCGGAGCGACGCGUCGGCGUUGAAAGCCCCCGGCUCAACCGGGGAACCGGCGCCGAAACGGCCGCGUCUCGAGGCGAGAAGAGGGACCUGGAACUUCCGGUGGAGCGGUGAAAUGCGUUGAGAUCGGACGAAACACCAGCGGCGAAAGCGAGGUCCUGGGCUCGUACUGACGCUGAGGCGCGAAAGCCAGGGGAGCGAGCGGGAUUAGAUACCCUGGUAGUCC
rnacentral:rRNA from 1 species